UACGCAGGGGGCUAGCGUUGUUCGGAAUGACUGGGCGUAAAGGGCGCGUAGGCGGUUUUUUAAGUGAGGCGUGAAAGCCCUGGGCUUAACCCAGGAGGUGCGUUUCAUACUGGAAGACUUGAGUACGAGAGAGGAAAGUGGAACUUCUAGUGUAGAGGUGAAAUUCGUAGAUAUUAGAAAGAACACCAGUGGCGAAGGCGGCUUUCUGGCUCGUAACUGACGCUGAGGCGCGAAAGCGUGGGGAGCAAACAGG
rnacentral:rRNA from 1 species